rnacentral:rRNA from 1 species
UUGUGCUACCGGAUAUGCCCAGGUGGGAUUAGCUAGUUGGUGAGGUAAGGGCUCACCAAGGCGACGAUCCCUAGCUGGUCUGAGAGGAUGAUCAGCCACACUGGAACUGAGACACGGUCCAGACUCCUACGGGAGGCAGCAGUGGGGAAUAUUGCACAAUGGGCGCAAGCCUGAUGCAGCCAUGCCGCGUGUAUGAAGAAGGCCUUCGGGUUGUAAAGUACUUUCAGUAGGGAGGAA